UCCCCGUUACCGGGGCAGUCUGAAUAGAAAAAUACAACUAUUCACAAGGGUUGCGCUCGUUAAUGGACUUAACCAAACAUCUCACGACACGAGCUGACGACGGCCAUGCAACAGCUGUCACUUGGUUCAAUAAAGCACUCACUACUUUCAUAGUAAUUCCAAGGAUGUCAAACCCUGGUAAGGUUCAUCGGUUAUCAUCGAAUUAAAGAACAUAAUCCACCGCUUGUGCGGCUCCCCGUCAAUUCCUUUAUGUUUUAGUCUUGCGACCGUACUCCACAGGCGGAGUGUUUCACGCGUUAGCUGGGCCCCUGAUCCACGUAGACCAAGGGCGAACACUCGUCGUUUACGGCAUGGACUAC
rnacentral:misc_RNA from 1 species